GUGAAGGGAAAAAGAGUGCAGUAAAUAUUUGUGUCUCCCCCUCAUAAAGACAAAUUGUACAGGAGAUGAAAAACCAAAUAAUCUCCAGUACUAGUUGAUCAAAAGUUUUACUUGAAGUUGACUUUGUAGAAAGAUCUGUCAUAUCUUCUUUAUUAUGUUCUUCUCCAAAUUAGCAGUGAGUCCGAUAUUAUCUUCAUAUUGAAUUGUUGCAUGAAUCAUCCUUUUGUAAUA
rnacentral:lncRNA from 1 species